rnacentral:rRNA from 1 species
AUUGAACGCUGGCGGCAUGCCUUACACAUGCAAGUCGAACGGCAGCACGGGAGCAAUCCUGGUGGCGAGUGGCGAACGGGUGAGUAAUAUAUCGGAACGUGCCCAGUCGUGGGGGAUAACGCAGCGAAAGCUGUGCUAAUACCGCAUACGAUCUAUGGAUGAAAGCGGGGGACCGCAAGGCCUCGCGCGAUUGGAGCGGCCGAUAUCAGAUUAGCUAGUUGGUGGGGUAAAGGCCCACCAAGGCGACGAUCUGUAGCUGGGCUGGGAGGACGACCAGCCACACUGGAACUGAGACACGGUCAGAAUCCUACGGGAGGCAGCCGUGGGGAAUUUUGGACAAUGGGCGCAAGCCUGAUCCAGCAAUGCCGCGUGCAGGAUGAAGGCCUUCGGGUUGUAAACUGCUUUUGUACGGAACGAAACGGUGAGCUUUAAUACAGUUUGCUAAUGACGGUACCGUAAGAAUAAGCACCGGCUAACUACGUGCCAGCCGCCGCGGUAA